ACUUAAAAAUCUGUAUAUUCCUCUAGUAUCCUCAGUUUUAUUCCCGUUUAAAUCUUUAAUUAAGCCUUCUGAAAUUUAUUUUGAUUUAAGGUUUAAUGUAGGAAUCUUUUUUUUAAGGUUUCAUCUAUUUAUUUUUCGAGAGAAGGGAAGGGAGGGAGAAAGAGAGGGAGAAAAACAUGUGAGAGAGAAACAUAGAUUGGCAGCCCCUCGCACACACCCAACUGCGGACCAAACCCCCCCAGCCUAGGCAUGUGCCCUGACCAGGGAAUCAAACCAGCGACUCUCUGCUUUGCGGGAUGAUGCCCAACCAACUGAGCCACAGAGCUCGGGGGUAAUGUAGGUAUCUUUUUUAAUGAUGAGGACAAGUUUUCCCAGCACCAUUUACUUAAAAAUGUAAUUUACCCACGUGGAAUUGAAAUGACAUCUUCAGCAAAACUAACUAUAGUUCACUUUAUUUCUGCUCUCUAUGACGUUUUGUGGAUCUGUCUACAGCUGUAUGGUGUAAUACUGAUUUACUUUAUUUCAUGUUUUUAGUGUGUGUACAGUGAACCUCACUGUUGGGGGCAUGCAGUUCUGAGUUUUGCCAAAUGUGUAGUGUGUGUAAGACAGAGAACGGCUCUGCAUUCUCCCCAGGUCCCCCAUGCUGCCCUUUCCCCUCUCCUCUAACCCCUGGCAACCACUGAGCUCUUUUCUGACCCUGGCGAUUUGCCUUUUCUAGAACGUUAUGUAAAUGGAAUCUUAGAGUGUCAUCUCCAGCCUGGCUUCUCUCACUCGGCGCAGUGUCCAUGUGAUCCGUCCACGUUGUCGCAUGUAUCACAAUGUUCCCUCCUUCCUGUUGCUGAGCAGUGUUCCGCUGUGUGACUCUACCUCGGUCUGUGUAUCCGUCCCCCAGCGGAGGGAUAUGUGAGUGGUGAUGGCACCCAAAUCCAGAUGGGACGAAUUCCUCUGAGUCGGGUGAGUGCGCCUGCGUGAAACUCGUGGGCAGAGGACAGGGAGCCAGGUCACCAGAAAGGCAUAAGUAAUCCUGGGAACCACCACUCAUCAUUCUCAAGGGCCUUCCACCCUCUUUGGAAUGUCCUCACUCUGACGCAUAGCUCAGUGUGAAUCAUGGAGAGCAUGCAUCCCAUUAGGAUGCUGGAAUUUCCAGGUUGGAAGAGACCUCCAAAACUCCCCCGGCUCCUUACUGGGAGACAAGAGUAAGCAUAAGAAACAUACAUACACCUUCCAAGCUCCUUCAAUGGUCACUUCCAAUGCGUAUCAAUCCUCACCAUCUGUGUGUCUUACAAAAACUCUUGUUUCACACACAUUUCCUCCUAGCCUUUCGUUGACAGGACACCAGCAAACUCUUGCAGAACUAGAACUACUUGUUCAAAGGCAGCCCUGAGCACUGGCGUUCGGCAGGGUCGGGAUUCAGUCAUGCUGUUUAUCCACUUAGGCACACUGAGUCUCCACCACCUCAGGGACUUCCUUUUAAUUUGCUUGUCUCCCUUUAAUUGGACACGCUGAGUGAAAUGAGGUGUCUCUUAUGAAAGUGCCUGCAAAGAGGAAGUCGCUGCAAAUUCACCAGCGGGGCAUUCUCCACGAUUCACCAACAGUGAAGGGACACAGGGAAGAAUCUACCCUUCCUGUCACUGUCUUGCAGGCCUGCUGCAGCUCUGCGCCCUACAUCGGCUUUUAUUUUAAGGAUUCCCAGGGCACUCUGGCUUCCCGGCUCUUAAAUACAUCCGUGGUUUUCAACCAAGAGUAGAGAUCAAUCCCCAGCAGUUUUCAAGUAGCAUAUUUAUCAGGUCAUCUGUGCUUUCAUUCACACUUUGAGCUGAAAUCACGCACCUGCUUUGUGUUGGGAAUAAAAUAGUCCUUGACGUUCAGUUAACUUAUAAUCGGUUAAAAACUGUGGUUUGGAGAUUAAGAACGAAGACUCUGAAGUCAAGCUAGAGAUGGAUUCAGUUUUUGUGGGAACUACAGCUAAGACAGUUUGGGGCCACUUUAAGAAAAAGAACACAAAAUUACAAAUACAAAAUUCGGUGCAGGGCCUUGCAAGGGGGCGUGUUAAGGGAAGGGCCCUGAAACCUCAGCUCUUGGAUUCUGAGAUCUCUCCUGAGCCAGGCAUGCUUAGGUCUAACCCUCCACUGUAUGAUCUCGGGCAAGUGACUGAAGGGCUCCCUGCUCAGGUUCCUCAUCUGCAAGACGAGAAAAACAGUAAGAUGACAAAAGAGACUCCAUAGUGUGGCAGAGGGCUCCAAAGAUAAGGAUGCAAAGCAUUUACCUGGGAGUCUGGCCCAUGACCGGUGCAUGGUGAAGGUUAGCUAUUACCAGGAGUAUAGUUAUCAUUACGAGCCUUCAUCUAGUAGGACUGCAUCACCACAAAACCUAGCUUCCUGAGCAGAUUUUAGGAAAAAGAGGGAGAGGUCCAAGGUCACACAUUCUCCCUAAUCCAGCUGCUCUGUGGUACACACAUCACGUGAGCAUGAAGCCCGGCCCCCAUCACGCUACAACCACACCAUAUACCGCGAGUGGCAGGCAUUACACAUCUCCUCCUCUGACAGCUGAUUCAUGCUGAGGUCACAAAGCACUUAUCUUCAAAAGCAGUGUAUUAAUAUCCGAUUGUGCAAUUAAACCAGACCUGUCUCGUUUUGCUUUCCUUCGGUGAAAUUUGUUCGUUCAGCAUAAAUGAGAAGGAUAAAUAUAAACUAGCCUUUCUCCUCUCAGUGUGUCAGGACUGGGUGGGUGGUAAUAAAACACGAAAGGCCACUGGGAAGCUAUUCAAUCACCUCCUUUGUUAUGGGCACGGCCACGCCUCUGGUUUUGACGCCAUGAUGUCUCUGCAAGGCUAAAGAAAAAAAACCCUCCCCCCCCCAAAAAAAACAAGAGUUAAAUCAUCUCUGUCUCAUAGCCUGCCGUGGACAUCAGCGGGACAGUCCGGCGCUUGCCCACAUCUCCCUCUGAGAGAAGAAGACAGGGCAGCUGGAAAAUAUAUCGAUAAACAAGUGAGCCCAGCAGACCACCGCUGCUUCCUCCCUUUGAAAUUCUCUUUUGGAAAUCUUCGUGGAUUCUGAAGCCUGAGGUAUCCAAAGUCUGAUAAAUGAAAUACGAUGAUGCUUCGGUUAACUAGGAUCAGUGGCUGCGAGGAGUAGUGAGAAGACAAUGAUUUGGUUAUCCCAUAAUUUCCAACAGCCACCUCUAGCCACCCCGAAUAGCCUUCCACCCUGAGCAGACACAGUGUGCUUGCUGUGUGAACAUGGUUUCAAACAAGCUCCCAGCCCGCCCGCCCCUCCCCACCUCACAGAUUGCUGGUGCUUAAUCCCCGCCUGUGUAAAAACUCUGGCUGGCAAAGCAGACUAGAAUGUUCUGGUGAUAGAAGUUAAUUGAAUUACCUAAAGGUUAACCAGGAAAGCUUAUUUGUUUCAAUCCUUGUCCUAGAAAACCAUCCUGAAGAUGUCUUCAUUUAUUUCUCGCCUUGGUAGAUAGAGUGACCCUAAGGUAAACCUGCAGGAAACAGGGCCAAGCCUUGUAGCCCAGCCCACGGGCUGAUGCAGAGGAGGUAUUCAGUAAGUGCUUGAUAAUAUAAUUAACUAAUGAGGUAGGCUGUGGAACAAGGGCAGUGUCUAAACAGUUCAGCAAUUCCCCCUAGUCUUGUCUUUUUAUCUGUGUAACUGAUGGGAAGCAUAAAUGACUUGAACUGAGUAAAGAUACAGGACAAAAGUAGCUCGCAUUGCUUGGACUCUGGAAGCUUUCCUUAUUAUUUUGGUUCAUUUAAAGUCAUCAGUCUUUUGGAAGAGAUAUUGUUUUGUAGGAAUAUUUAUAUUCAAGUUACUUCAAAAGAUGUUUCAAGUACUUAAAACAGACAAUAAAU